GCCCUACGGGGCGCAGCAGUGGGGAAUAUUGCACAAUGGGGGAAACCCUGAUGCAGCGACGCCGCGUGAGUGAAGAAGUAUUUCGGUAUGUAAAGCUCUAUCAGCAGGGGAGAAGAAGGACGGUACCUGAGUAAGAAGCCCCGGCUAACUACGUGCCAGCAGCCGCGGUAAUACGUAGGGAGCAAGCGUUAUCCGGAUUUACUGGGUGUAAAGGGAGCGUAGACGGCAGCGCAAGUCUGGAGUGAAAUGCCGGGGCCCAACCCCGGAACUGCUUUGGAAACUGUGCGGCUCGAGUGCGG
rnacentral:rRNA from 1 species